AGUGAACGCUGGCGGUAGGCCUAACACAUGCAAGUCGAACGGCAGCACAGUAAGAGCUUGCUCUUACGGGUGGCGAGUGGCGGACGGGUGAGGAAUACAUCGGAAUCUACUUUUUCGUGGGGGAUAACGUAGGGAAACUUACGCUAAUACCGCAUACGACCUACGGGUGAAAGCAGUGGAUCUUCGGACCUUGCGCGAUUGAAUGAGCCGAUGUCGGAUUAGCUAGUUGGCGGGGUAAAGGCCCACCAAGGCGACGAUCCGUAGCUGGUCUGAGAGGAUGAUCAGCCACACUGGAACUGAGACACGGUCCAGACUCCUAAGGGAGGCAGCAGUGGGGAAUAUUGGACAAUGGGCGCAAGCCUGAUCCAGCCAGACCGCGUGGGUGAAGAAGGCCUUCGGGUUGUAAAGCCCUUUUGUUGGGAAAGGAAAGCAGCAGGUUAAUACCCCGCUGUUCUGACGGUACCCAAAGAAUAAGCACCGGCUAACUUCGUG
rnacentral:rRNA from 1 species